rnacentral:rRNA from 1 species
UGGGGAAUAUUGGACAAUGGGCGCAAGCCUGAUCCAGCCAUGCCGCGUGAGUGAAGAAGGCCUUAGGGUUGUAAAACUCUUUCGCCGGGGAAGAUAAUGACGGUACCCGGAGAAGAAGCUCCGGCUAACUUCGUGCCAGCAGCCGCGGUAAUACGAAGGGAGCUAGCGUUGUUCGGAAUUAUUGGGCGUAAAGAGCUCGUAGGCGGUUCAGUAAGUCGGGUGUGAAAACUUUGGGCUUAACCCAAAGCGUGCAUCCGAUACUGCUGUGACUUGAGUACGGUAGGGGAGAGGUGAGUGGAAUUCCUAGUGUAGAGGUGAAAUUCGUAGAUAUUCGGAAGAACACCAGUGGCGAAGGCGGCUCACUGGACGUGUAUUGACGCUGAGGUACGAAAGCGUGGGGAGCAAACAGGAUUAGAUACCCCGGUAGUCCCUGAGCGGGCUGGCAAGGCGCAU